rnacentral:piRNA from 1 species
UCUCUUUCCUAUUUUGAAACC